AUUGAACGCUGGCGGCAGGCCUAACACAUGCAAGUCGAGCGGAUGAAGGGAGCUUGCUCCUGGAUUCAGCGGCGGACGGGUGAGUAAUGCCUAGGAAUCUGCCUGGUAGUGGGGGAUAACGUCCGGAAACGGGCGCUAAUACCGCAUACGUCCUGAGGGAGAAAGUGGGGGAUCUUCGGACCUCACGCUAUCAGAUGAGCCUAGGUCGGAUUAGCUAGUUGGUGGGGUAAAGGCCUACCAAGGCGACGAUCCGUAACUGGUCUGAGAGGAUGAUCAGUCACACUGGAACUGAGACACGGUCCAGACUCCUACGGGAGGCAGCAGUGGGGAAUAUUGGACAAUGGGCGAAAGCCUGAUCCAGCCAUGCCGCGUGUGUGAAGAAGGUCUUCGGCUUGUAAAGCACUUUAAGUUGGGAGGAAGGGCAGUAAGUUAAUACCUUGCUGUUUUGACGUUACCAACAGAAUAAGCACCGGCUAACUUCGU
rnacentral:rRNA from 1 species